rnacentral:lncRNA from 1 species
UUUUUUACUCAAAAAUCGAAUGCUUUCUUUUUAUUUCCAAAAGUUGCUGAAUCCUUCCAUUGAAAUUGGCUUGGCUUUUUAAAGCCUAUUUUACAUGAUUUUCUAUGCUGUCUUUUCUCUCUUUUUUUGAUUCUUGCAGGGGGAUGGGCAUUGCUGACAUGGGUAGUGGAGCAGGUGGCCAUGGCAGACGGCAGAAGGCCCUAGGUACGGCGCACCUAGGGUUUGAAAUUUUUGUUGUUUUUUGUUAGGGUUUGGGCCAUAUUGUUUUGGGCUUUGAGGGUUUAUGAUAGUUGGAUUAUGGUAAAUGGGUAAGUAGGCUUAUGUUAUUGGGCCGAUGGGUUAGUUGGGCUAAUUGGUAUUGGGUUUUAAGGGCCUGGGCAAUUUGGGCUUCUACAACCACGCUUUUUUUAAACAUAUUUUGUAUUUUCUAUUCUUGUAUUUUUUUUCAUGUCAUAAUCAUGUUUAAG